rnacentral:rRNA from 1 species
UACGUAGGGGGCAAGCGUUGUCCGGAAUCAUUGGGCGUAAAGAGCGUGUAGGCGGCCACUUAAGUCCUGCGUGAAAUCUUGCGGCUCAACCGCAAGCGGUCGUGGGAAACUGGGUGGCUAGAGUGCGGGAGAGGAGAGUGGAAUUCCUGGUGUAGCGGUGGAAUGCGCAGAUAUCAGGAGGAACACCAAUGGCGAAGGCAGCUCGCUGGGACGUGACUGACGCUGAGACGCGAAAGCGUGGGGAGCAAACAGG